rnacentral:lncRNA from 1 species
GCAUCAUGUCUGUUGUUUGAGUAAGCACUCUAAGCAGAAAAGGUAAUCAACAAGCAAAAACAAAUUUUCUUCUCAUGAGAAAAGACAUUGUUGCUUCCUUGUGUGGGCUCUGAAAUUCUUCAUUCUUCUAGAUUUUCUUGUUUCGAUGUCUAUCUACCAUAGGACUCAGCUGGACAAAGGUUAUCUGAAAGAAUCACCCACCAUCUAUGAUGGAAAAACAAUUUAUGCAAUACUUAUGAGAUAAU